UAGUAGAUAUGGCACUACCAUCGCUAUCAUCUCCACCGCACCACGCUGCCACCUCCCGCUUUCAAUACUUCCUCCAAUCCAUGGCGCCGCCGUCGCCGUCAAAGAGGCCAUCGUCCAAGGACAUCGCCGGGGAUGGAGCAGAGCCUUGCGGGGAUGCGCCCUCUGCUCUCUCCCCAAUCCUGCCGGUGCCCACUUCAGAAAUAAAAGCUGUUAGCAGAGGGCUUACGGAUCGCUGGCUGGGGGCCGUAGGAGAUGGUGAUUUUUGUGUCAGACUCCGAUCAGUAUCUGCCUGGAUGGAUUAUCACCAGUUUCUGCUGGCUGAACUAAUUAAUGAUCGUCGUUGCACUGGUGCUUUGGAGUAUCAGGACAGUCAAUUGCCGCAAAUCUAGCAUGAUUUUGCCUGUAGCUAGCCAUUUACAAUGCAGCAUAAAGUCAUGAGGGGUUCGAUAAAGGAUUCUGGAAGCACUCAAGAACCUGCUGCAUCAAAUUAUCAUCCUGGGGUUCAGUAAUGGCGAAGUUGCCAUCAACAAGCUUGUGGCAGAACUUUCUUACCGGGCUAGUAAUGUUUUAUCAAGUAUUUCCAAGUUUCAUUAUUUGGAUGUGGGCCUCAAUUGUGCUCGAGCAUAUACUACUGACCAUGCAACGAUCAAGGGGAUAGCCAGCUAUGUCUUGCAGACUACUGAUGAUCUCUGUUUUAUCCAUCAACAUGUACUAUGAAAGUAUGAAUGCUACUCUCAAUUUUAAUUAUUAUCUGAGACAAUCUAAAUUAUAGAAAAAUGUUGAAUCUCGAGAGAUUCAGAGUAUUCCUAUAUAGUCUAUUUUGUGGAUUGCAAAGUAUGAAUGCUAUUUUGUACUCCCUCCGUUCUUAAAUAUAAGUCUUUUUAAAGGUUUCA